rnacentral:tRNA from 1 species
GCCCGUUUAGCUCAGUGGUAGAGCGCGCCACUCGUAACAAUGCAAUGGUGAGGUCGGUUGUUCAAUCCAGCCAAUGGGCA